GUUGCCUCACACCUCUGGGACCCGGGUUCGAGUCUCCGCCUGGGUUACAUGUGUGUGGAGUUUGCAUGUUCUCCCCAUGUCGUCGUGGGGUUUCCUCCGGGUACUCCGGUUUCCCCCCACAGUCCAAAAACAUGCUGAGGCUAAUUGGAGUUGCUAAAUUGCCCAUAGGUGUGAAUGUGUGAGUGACUGGUGUGUGAGUGUGCCCUGCGAUGGGCUGGCCCCCCAUCCUGGGUUGUUCCCUGCCUCGUGCCCAUUGCUUCCGGGAUAGGCUCCGGACCCCCUGCGACCCAGUAGGAAACGCAGUUUGGAAAAUGGAUGGAUGGA